rnacentral:rRNA from 1 species
CCGGCACGGGUGAGUAACACGUAUCCAACCUGCCGUCUACUCUUGGACAGCCUCUGAAGGAAGAUUAAUACAAGAUGGCAUCAUGAGUCCGCAUGUUCACAUGAUUAAAGGUAUUCCGGUAGACGAUGGGGAUGCGUUCCAUUAGAUAGUAGGCGGGGUAACGGCCCACCUAGUCUUCGAUGGAUAGGGGUUCUGAGAGGAAGGUCCCCCACAUUGGAACUGAGACACGGUCCAA